rnacentral:rRNA from 1 species
CCGGACCUGACUGCUAUCGGAUUGGUACUAAGCCAUGCGAGUCAUUGUAGCAAUACAAGGCGGACGGCUCAGUAACACGUAGUCAACCUAACCUAUGGACGUGGAUAACCUCGGGAAACUGAGAAUAAACCGCGAUAGAUCAUUAUGCCUGGAAUGGCUUAUGGUUCAAACAAUUUAUUGCCGUAGGAUGGGACUGCGGCCUAUCAGCUUGUUGGUGAGGUAAUGGCCCACCAAGGCUAUAACAGGUACGGGCUCUGAGAGGAGAAGCCCGGAGAUGGGUACUGAGACACGGACCCAGGCCCUAUGGGGCGCAGCAGGCGAGAAACCUUAGCAAUGUGCGAAAGCACGACUAGGUUAAUCCGAGUGAUUCCUGUUGAAGGAAUCUUUUGUCAGUCGUAAAACCACAGACGAAUAAGGGGUGGGCAAGUCUGGUGUCAGCCGCCGCGGUAAUACCAGCACCUCGAGUGGUCAGGAGGUUUAUUGGGCCUAAAGCAUCCGUAGCCGGCUUUGCAAGUCUCCGGUUAAAUCCAGCUGCUCAACAGAUGGGCUGCCGGAGAUACUACACAGCUAGGGAGCGGGAGAGGCAGACGGUAUUCUGUGGGUAGGGGUAAAAUCCAUUGAUCCAUAGAGGACCACCAGUGGCGAAAGCGGUCUGCCAGAACGCGUUCGACGGUGAGGGAUGAAAGCUGGGGGAGCAAACCGGAUUAGAUACCCGGGUAGUCCCAGCUGUAAACGAUGCAAACUCGGUGAUGCAUUGGCUUAUGGCCAAUGCAGUGCCGCAGGAAGCCGUUAAGUUUGCCGCCUGGGA